GCUCUGUGGAUCCUCUGUGUCCCGUCUCUUUCUUGUCUUCUCGGGUUAAUGCGUUUACCAUCGUCAGCGCACACACAAAGGCCUCGGCUCAGGAGACUGUAUCACGAGAGGCUACAAAGAAGUGUAAGAUGUCUGUGUGUGUGCGUGGCUGCGUCCAUGGAAAAGCUGAGCCUAUCAUCUGCCGACUCCUGCUGCUGACCAGCUGAUACACAUCACCUGAGUCUUUUCUAGUCCUGCUGCAUUCUGUCCUCAAACCCAGCUGCUUAGAGCUCAGCAGCGAACGCGUUACCGUGUUUUUAAGAAAUCACCGUGCACACAGUCCAUUACUUAACCACAAGGCUGCGGCUAAUUGCUUCAGUGUGUCCGUGUGCACGUGACUCAGGACAGCAGCAGCCGGUUGGGCGAAGAAGAAGUCGGCAUAAACACUUGGAGAGGCCUGAACGGUGCGAGGAUGUGCUCCACUGACCCGAGGCUACGAGGAAAUAACAGCGCAGUUUACUUGACAUCAGUCGGGGAACUUUGGUGACCUCAGGAACAGAAGUAGAACCAAAAACCAUCUAAUUAUCAAAGCAGGCUCAGACGGGACAACUAAAAUGAUUUACUUACUCCACUCUUUGUUCUUUACUGUGUAUUUACAUCCACAGCCUUGCAUGUAUCUACUUAUGCAGUAAAUUGAUUUAACGCAUAUGUUUUUAUUCUGAAAACACUAACUGUAUUGUUAUAGUAACACAUUCUUGCACAGAAAUAAAAUGCAGUCAUGGCAGAAAGCUAAAAGCGCUGCACUCCUUUUUGGCCUCUCACAUCUGGAAGCUGAACAAGCUGAUCUGUUGUCCACUGGGGAGACCCACCGAGGAGCCGGGGGUUAAUAACCCACUUGGUCAGUGGCAAAGUGAGGUCAGAGUCACA